GAGUUUGAUCAUGGCUCAGAUUGAACGCUGGCGGCAGGCUUAACACAUGCAAGUCGAACGAUGAUUACUAGCUUGCUAGUAUGAUUAGUGGCGAACGGGUGAGUAAUGCUUAGGAAUCUGCCUAUUAGUGGGGGACAACAUUCCGAAAGGAAUGCUAAUACCGCAUACGUCCUACGGGAGAAAGCAGGGGAUCGCAAGACCUUGCGCUAAUAGAUGAGCCUAAGUCGGAUUAGCUAGUUGGUGGGGUAAAGGCCUACCGAGGCGACGAUCUGUAGCUGGUCUGAGAGGAUGAUCAGCCACACUGGGACUGAGACACGGCCCAGACUCCUACGGGAGGCAGCAGUGGGGAAUAUUGGACAAUGGGCGAAAGCCUGAUCCAGCCAUGCCGCGUGUGUGAAGAAGGCCUUUUGGUUGUAAAGCACUUUAAGUGGGGAGGAAAAGCUAAUAAUUAAUACCUAUUAGCC
rnacentral:rRNA from 1 species